GAAUAUCUCCUCUGUUGUGGUGUAGUGGUUGUACUAAAAGAGAGACCAUUAAAUUGCUUUCUAUGUAUUUGGUUACUACCACAAAUCUGGAAUUCUAUACUUGGAUAUAAAUGGACAAAAAUGUCUCCUGCUUUUGCAGGGCAAACUCUAUUGAGUCAGCUGAGUCAGAUCACACUGACUGCACAACUUUUGAUGCAAUGAAUCAGAGAAUUGGUAUAGCUGUGCCAACACCUUGUUACUUCUGGCCAUGUCAUGUUGUUUGACACUUUAGAGAAAUGUGCAAAAAGAUCCAUAAACCACCUGGCCAGUUGUUCAAGUUACAUAUCUUGAUUAAAAAAGUCAUGGAUGAAGAAGCAGAAGUCAGGGAAACUGAUGAUCUUUUUCUAGUCCAGUGCUCAGUUAGACACCUUGUAUUUAACAGAACAUGAAGAAGCUCCCUUUUGUUUCUCCGUUUCUUUUCUAAAUGAUCAUAUUUUAUGAAGCAUGUGCGUACUAAUCCACAGACAUAGACAAUUGGACUAUUAAGAUUCAUUAAAUUCAUUGAUUUGUCUUUUUCUUUCUGUUUCUUAUCAGUCAUUAAUGAUGCACAAUGACUUGUCUCCCAUUUUAUUCAUGUUUUCAUCUAUAUUCCUCAUAUUUUAUCUUGAACAAAGAGUAGUCUUGUGUCACGAAAGCUCAUCAAAGUCAUAAUUGCACUUCAUUUAUCUGCAUUGAACUGUCUGUCAUCCGUUAGCAUUUUGAACGCUCUAUACAUCUUUCUGCACUUGUCUGCAUUCUUCCUCAUUUAUGUCUCCUGGACCAUCCAUUACUUCUUGCUAGCUGCUUUUUGCUUUUAAUUUGUUUUAAUUACCGGGUGUGUUUGUAACCUUCUAGCAGUUUCAAUGCAGAAAUAUUGGUAAAGCUUUUUUUCCCACAUGUACCAACAGUUUAUACUCAACACUACUAUUUAUCUAAAAAAUGAAUGUGCCAGCAAGACAGAAUAAAUCUCAGUAUUGAGGAUCUGUUAUACACCACAACAGCCUAUACACAUUUUCCUAAUCUACCUUUUAUGCUCUGGACAUUAUCUUUGACAUAGACUAAAACUCAAAAGCACUCCAAAUUCUUUAUUGUAAGUAAUUUCUGUAAAAUUGUCAACUGAUAAUUAUUAGACUGGUGGCCAGAAGGGGAUAAGGACUGUUACUGAUGAUUUUCAUUCCUUCUUGGUUUUAUCAUGCAUCAUGUUUUACUUUUAGUUAAUGAAAAUAUUGCCUUAUUUUUUUCUUAUUAUACAACUGCUUAUGCUUGUCUUUUUCCUCCUAGGUACCUGUCUCAUCAUCUUUACUACAUCUUAUUUUAAAAGACCUGGCAAAACUGGGUUACAGAGGGUGCCUUACAAAUUAGAUAAACAAAAUUUUAAGAGGGCUGCUUUGGAAGAAGUAAAUGUGGAAACAUUAAUUUUAGGCUGUACAGAUACUGUGUUCCUUAUCUGUAAAAUGGGACAAAUGAGCAUCCUUUCCUUCACUAAGAAAUCCUUCUUAUGAGUAGGUGAAGGUUAUCAGGCAGAAGGUUACUGUAGAAGGAUAAAAUAGCAUACACCUUAUGUUUCAGAUUGUUAACUGAUAUACAUUGGUAUAAUGGAAUUAAUGAAACUGUGGUGGUUUAUAUGAAAGGAAAACAAAUGUGGAUGGGUUUGUUUAUUUGUUUUUGCAUUUAGCAGAGCGUCAGGCAGAUUAACAGUGGUAUCAUUACCUCACGUAGGUGAGUUUCAGAGGCCUAGGAACUUUAUUUACUUGAGCUCAGGUGAACAAAACACUAUUAAGUGUUUGGUAAUUCUCUAGACUAGAAAAAAUAUCAGGUCACAAGAAAUCUGCUGAAACUCAGUUUACGUUAAUAUCUCUCUGUAAUUAGUUUUUCUACUUUCACUAAAAUUGAAAUUCUUGAUAGCAUAUAAAAAGUAUUAAAUAGCACUAAAAAGAGCAGAAGCCAGGUCAAAAGGAACAAAUACUUCACCAGUCUUAUCUUUUCAUAUGUUGUUUUAAUUUCAAUUAAUUUUUUAAAUACUAGAAAUACUUUAUAUCUUUAUACACACUGUAUUAUAAAAUUAAACAAAUCAAUCUUUAGCAGGUGUUAUAUUUUUAAAGUAGCAAUGGAAUCAUCUAAGGGGUCUAUGAAGCAUUGCUAGAGUAUGCCUAAUUUGAUUUUCAAAUGUUUUUAUUAAGCUAAUAAGUUUUAACUGAGAAAGAACAUAUAGCUUGGAAACAUAACCAGAUAAUACAUCAUGAUGGCUAAUUAUCUUCAAUGCCAAUUAUACAUUUGAGUUUGUCUAUCUUGAAUUUUCAGCUAUUGUAUCCUACUACAGACUAUGACGUAGGAAACUUCUCAUCACACACAAAAUGGAUUUGUCUCCGUAACUUCCUUAAGUAACAAAAUCUUUUUUUCUCUUUUCCACUCUUUUGUUGGUUACCAGUUCCUUGUCAACUACAGCAUCACACACCCACACAUCUCAGCUGCCACUCUCUCAUUUUCCAUCCAAAACAGCAGAAUACAUCACCUGUUAUCAAUGCUGCCACUCAUUCUCAAGAAACAAUCAAGAAAUAGGUACUUAUCCAAGGCUCCUGGCAGCCACCCAUGUUUCUAGUUUAUUUCCUGAUCUUCAUCAACAUAGAGUAUAACAUGGCUCUGGAAAAACUUCUAAACUUCAACUAGAAACAGUUAGUAACACAAUGUGAACAGAACUAGUUUUGUAGUUUUUUUCACCAGCCCGGGCAGCUGAUGAAAAACCAAAUUCCAACUGCAGCAGCUAGAAGGAACUCCAUUUUUCUGGCCCUCAGGGCCACAGAUGAGACUUUAUCUCUGGCUUUCCAUGUUCUCUGCUUUUCUGGUGUUCUAUGGAAUAUUCUGUCAUUUUUUUGUUCAGCUUGCCUUUUCCUCCUGCCAUAUAAUUGGUCCUGCUAAAUGCUAUAGCACACUCAGGCCUACUGACUGUCUCUUCUUUGUUGCUAUUUAAUCCCCUUUGCUACCUUACACCUCCUUUCUGCCAAUAGAUUGGCUGCGCCACUGCUGCCACUUGUGUCAUUGAGGUUGUUGUUUUAUACAUCUAUGCUGAAGUAUGCUGUGGAUUAACUAUUUCUUAGCAUUACUUUGUAGCUUUGACUUAUUUAUUGCUUCAAAGGACAUAACUCUUCUCGUGUUGCCUGCUUUUUCUCUUCUUGUACUCCUCUUCCCUCCUUUCCCCAACCCUUUCAUUUCUUAACUUCCUUUUAUCUUAGCACAGAAUCUCAAGCCCUAAAUCACAAAGUGCAAUGUAAUAAGCACAAGUGGCUGUGCUGUUAUAACUUACAAAAGAAAAUGAAAAAGGGUCAGGGAAAAUGCCCCCAUUAAUCUCUGCUCUUGCAAUUUAUACAGUUGUUUCUGCCCCUGCAGGACAGAUAGCAAAAGAUGCCAACUUUCAACUUCAUCCCAACCUGCUUAUAGGCAAAGACAAUAUGAAGUGGAAGAUGAAAUGGCCAUACCCCACAGACAUCACCUAGAAAUGACAUAUUCAUGCUUUAUUUUUGUCUUCCCUUUUUCCUCCCCACAAGCUGUAUCUCGUAAAAUUUUGUCCUCCUGUGUUAUCACCAGCAGGUUUUUUCAUACCUAAACACAGCACGUGGUAUACCAGGGACAACUGCAGUCUUCAUUCUCAGGUCUGCUUAGUACUGGCAGGUGAAAGCAAAAACCCUGUUCCAGUUUGAAUAUCUGACAGCAUCAUUUAGAGCUACUGUCGGCUCUAAAUUAUUAUUGCUAAUGGUUAUUGCUACUGCCUUUCCACCUAACAGCAACUGCUCAAAUUCAGUGGUUUCUGGCUUUCCUACUCCUGCCACAAAACUGCCAGGGAAGUUCACGAGAGUAACAGGUCUGAGAGAGCUGUAAGCUAAGGAGGUAUAGGGGCAGAGGGUGACUGGCUAUAUUUGGGACCUUGUGGCACAAUUCCUGAUCGAGAAGAGGGUCUACUGCUCUAUGUAGUGGCCACCGAAAGUCUUCUUCAUGAGUCAAAUUGAGGUGAAAGAAUUUUUAACUGGAAUGGGUCCAGCAGUGUUUUAUGCCACAUAUCCCAAGUCCUUCCCUAUCUUUUGAUAAACAAUAGGUUUCUGCUGUUUCUGAAACUCAGUAGAUACAUUCUGGUCAUCCUCCAGAGCACAAAAGCAUUUUGGGAAAAAAGAAGGCUGUGACUAGUUUUACAUUUUGGGAAUGCAGUGGCCGUGUUUUGAUCAUGUGUUGAGGCCCUCCAUGUUUUGAUCAUGACGGCCCUCCAAAAUUAAUCGACUCCCACUGCUUUCAACCAAAUAAUUAAUCUGUCUUAUAUUGUAUUUUCUACAUGUCUGUGACCUCUCACUUGUCAUUGGCUCUUCCUUCCAGAGUGAAAGAGUGACAAGAUGGCUCAUAGCAUCAUACAUGAUUUGAAAGAUAUUUACAAAAAGAACUCCCUAAAGAAAAAGAUAGGAGGAACACUAUAAUUUACACUAUUUGUGCAGCCUUCAGUGGAAGUGUGAGAAGAAGGCUGCAGGGGAAAAUAAAAGUUAUGAAAACUGAAAAUGUGAGGUAGGGAUGAAGGAAAGUUUGGGAGUAGUGGGUUUCUGAAUGCUCUUUCCUAUUAAUUUAGAUUCAGUGUAUUGUUAACCAGCAGCCUGCCAUUUUAUUUUUUUUAUUUUCACUUGGAUGUAUUUCUCAAACCAUGAAAAUUUAGGGCAAACCACUUUUCAGUGUUAAACGUAAAUUAAUAUUUUUCCUUUAUUACCUUUUCCAAUGCAGUAUUUUGUGAAAAUAAUUUUUCUCUAGUUCUUUCUAACAUAGGCAGAGAUCUAUAUAUACAGAGAUGUAUACAACAGUGUAUAGUGUACAAAUGCAAUGUAUACACAAAUAAAUAUAUUUACAUAGCCAGGGAUCUGCCUGUACUGAUACAGUCUUUAAGUCAAAUUCAACAUUUAUACAACUUGUCUCUCUGUAUUAUCCUAGUGUGUUUGGAUUAAACAAGUCUGCAGCUUUCUAAUUGUCAUGGUUUAACCCCAGCUGCCAACUAAGCGAAACUGGCACACUAAUAAAAGAGCUAACCCUUCCAACUCUGCACAGACCGUACAUCUGGGAGAUGAUUUUGGAAGUGUGAAGAAGUCAAAACAUCACUUCCUGGCACAUGUUCUACUCCAGAUGAACAUGUCAGCACGCUCUUUUUGAUUGCUUACCUGGUGCUAGUUCUCUGUGAAGGGAUCCCGUCACCACAGGACUGAUUCCCACUCAGCUUCCCACAUACACAACCCCCUUGCUGGAUCUGCCACACUCCAAAACAUGAGUGACAACAGGCUUGACAACCUUUGGGGUGGUGAAAGAUCUGGCGAGAGCAAGCCUCCCCAGCAUGCUCAUCAGACUUAAGCAAUCAUGUCUGUGAUCAUGCUACUGAAAUAAGGAGAUCCUGAAAGACCAGCAGACUGAGAGAUGACUGAGAAGUUGGAGCCAUGGCUAUUUUUCUAGGACUUUGUGUCAGGAAUUUCCAUUGUUUCAUGGACUCUCUGUGGACUCCAAGGCAUAUAAAAUAUUCUGACCUGCAGCCCGAGGUCAAAGCACGAACCUCUUCCUGAAGUUUUCAACUUUGCAUGGAGCUGCUAGACUAGAAUCUAUUAAUGUGAUGUUCAGUUUACCCUCAUUUUCCUUUCAUUAAGGGAAAUGGGGACAUUCGGUAAAUUUACCAGUCAGCUGUGCUUGAUAUUACUGGAUCAGGUGAGGCAGUCACAAGUUUCGUGAAGUGCCCUCAAUGCAAGAGCAAUUAGAACCUGAUAAUCUUUUAUUGUUCUUGUCACUUGCAGGGUUUUUUAAAUAUAAUAUGACAGAAACAAGUGCAGUGGGAUGAUUUUUAUUAUACCAAGAUGAUCUAGCAUUGCUGUCAAGUUAAGUUAUAGUUUUAAGAGGAAAUCACCAAAUUGUACAUUUAUGGUUCUGCUAUGGUAAAUCACACCAUCAUAAUUCAGAUAGAAACUCUAUAAUAAUAAUACUAUCACCUCUAUUUUUUCUAUUAAUUCUUCUAUUUAUCAAUGAGCAGAGAAAUAACAGCCAAUGUAUAUCCAGUACACAUAAGUGAGUUUGUAUGUAGCUGCUACAUAUUCCUUUUAAAAGUAAAGCAGCAUCUGUACAAUCUGUUGCAUGUUCCUAUAGCUAUAAAUGGACAUGUGAAAGCAAACACAGUUGCAUAUCAACAGGUUAGGCCAUCAGACUACUUUGACCCUUUGAGGUCAAUGAAAAUAAUGUUAAGGAUUUCAGUGAGCUUUACAGUUACAUUCUGGGUAUUUGUACUUAUUCACCACAGAUGUGUAUUUUGACUGCAAUAGCAAACAAAAGUAUUUACAGCUAAGGGUAUCAUCCUUAAGGCAUGACUAUAUUGCUUUCACUUACUAACCAAAACUUGCUUGGUUUCAUUCAGGAGGCUUUUACACAACUUCACUCUCAUUGCAGUAAAAUAAAAACAAAAAUUUACUUAAUUUUUUUUUUGCCUCCUGACAUAAUUUCAAAAAAGAAUUUGGUGGGUCAUGAAUGGCUUCAGUUAAGUAAAAAUAUGUUUAAUUUGUGUAAGUGAAUAAUUUGAAACAAUCAGGUUUAGAAAUUUAAAUUAACAUAAUGAACAGAAGAAAAUGCCUCUUCUAACCAUGAUGUUGUUUUAGGUUGAAUACAUUUCAUUGUUGACAUUUGAAUUUGUUACUGGUUGAAGUUUAAAUCAUAACAGCGAAGGCAUAUUUGUUUCAGGUUUAAAUUUCUCUUUGCUUAAUAUAGCUGUCAAGUCAGAAAAAUUCAGAUAAGACAAAUGACGUUUUUAAAUAAAGAAAUAUUUUAUAAGGUGGUUAAAUUUCGUUUGUCUUAGCUUCAAAAAGGAAUGGGUUAUUUCAAAUUUGCAAAUUCAUGAGCAACCAAUUAUGUAUCUGAUUUGCUUCAUUUGUAAAGGCAAGCUGAAGAAAACUAUUUCUUGCUGAUGUUCACAAUAAACAUACCCCCUGGUUUCCCAAACCAUUGGAGAUAAUGGGUUGUAAAAUCUAUAUUAAAGUACCUGAUGAAGAAA